rnacentral:rRNA from 1 species
AAUCGGGGCAGGGUGAGUCGACCCCUAAGGCGAGGCCGAAAGGCGUAGUCGAUGGGAAACGGGUUAAUAUUCCCGUACUUGGUGUUACUGCGAAGGGGGGACGGAGAAGGCUAUGUUGGCCGGGCGACGGUUGUCCCGGUUUAAGCGUGUAGGUAUGUGUUCCAGGUAAAUCCGGUUCACUUUAACACUGAGGCGUGACGACGAGGCACUACGGUGCUGAAGCAACAAAUGCCCUGCUUCCAGGAAAAGCCUCUAAGCAUCAGGUAACAUCAAAUCGUACCCCAAACCGACACAGGUGGUCAGGUAGAGAAUACCAAGGCGCUUGAGAGAACUCGGGUGAAGGAACUAGGCAAAAUGGUGCCGUAACUUCGGGAGAAGGCACGCUGACACGUAGGUGAAGUGAUUUACUCACGGAGCUGAAGUCAGCCGAAGAUACCAGCUGGCUGCAACUGUUUAUUAAAAACACAGCACUGUGCAAACACGAAAGUGGACGUAUACGGUGUGACGCCUGCCCGGUGCCGGAAGGUUAAUUGAUGGGGUCAGCGCAAGCGAAGCUCCUGAUCGAAGCCCCGGUAAACGGCGGCCGUAACUAUAACGGUCCUAAGGUAGCGAAAUUCCUUGUCGGGUAAGUUCCGACCUGCACGAAUGGCGUAAUGAUGGCCAGGCUGUCUCCACCCGAGACUCAGUGAAAUUGAACUCGCUGUGAAGAUGCAGUGUACCCGCGGCAAGACGGAAAGACCCCGUGAACCUUUACUAUAGCUUGACACUGAACAUUGAGCCUUGAUGUGUAGGAUAGGUGGGAGGCUUUGAAGUGUGGACGCCAGUCUGCAUGGAGCCGACCUUGAAAUACCACCCUUUAAUGUUUGAUGUUCUAACGUGGACCCGUGAUCCGGGUUGCGGACAGUGUCUGGUGGGUAGUUUGACUGGGGCGGUCUCCUCCUAAAGAGUAACGGAGGAGCACGAAGGUUGGCUAAUCCUGGUCGGACAUCAGGAGGUUAGUGCAAUGGCAUAAGCCAGCUUGACUGCGAGCGUGACGGCGCGAGCAGGUGCGAAAGCAGGUCAUAGUGAUCCGGUGGUUCUGAAUGGAAGGGCCAUCGCUCAACGGAUAAAAGGUACUCCGGGGAUAACAGGCUGAUACCGCCCAAGAGUUCAUAUCGACGGCGGUGUUUGGCACCUCGAUGUCGGCUCAUCACAUCCUGGGGCUGAAGUAGGUCCCAAGGGUAUGGCUGUUCGCCAUUUAAAGUGGUACGCGAGCUGGGUUUAGAACGUCGUGAGACAGUUCGGUCCCUAUCUGCCGUGGGCGCUGGAGAACUGAGGGGGGCUGCUCCUAGUACGAGAGGACCGGAGUGGACGCAUCACUGGUGUUCGGGUUGUCAUGCCAAUGGCACUGCCCGGUAGCUAAAUGCGGAAGAGAUAAGUGCUGAAAGCAUCUAAGCACGAAACUUGCCCCGAGAUGAGUUCUCCCUGAGACUUUAGGUCUCCUGAAGGAACGUUGAAGACGACGACGUUGAUAGGCCGGGUGUGUAAGCGCAGCGAUGCGUUGAGCUAAC